AAAAGCCUUGGGGAUGGGACCAAAGUUAAAACACAAAAUUCAUUUUUAUUUCAUGUGUGCAUAACCUGAACAUUAUCUUAUGUAACAUUUUAAAUAAUUUUAUGCACCAGUCCUAUGAGGUCAAGUGUGAAUCUUUCACUUCUGGUGUCAUGUUGGCACUCAAAAAGUUUCAGAGUAUGGGGCAUUUUGAAUUUUAUAUUUUCAGCUUAAGGGUGCUCAACCUGUAUAUGUAUGGCUCUAUGGUAUAAAUGUUUAUGUCCCUCCAAAAUACAUAUGUUGUAAUCUUCACUCCCAAAAUGAUUGUAUUAGGUCGUGGGGCCUUUGGGAGGUGAUUAUGUCAUAGGAGUGGAAUCUGCACAAAUAAAAUCAUUGCUCUUAUAGGAGAGGGUCAAAAGAUACCCCUCACCCCUUCCACUGUAUGAGGUUAGGAUAAGAAUAUAGCUGUCUAAGAGGAAGCAGAUUCUUACCAGACACUGAAUCUGCUGGCACCAUGAUCUUGGACAUUCCAGCCUUCAGAAUCUUCAAGCAUCUUUGGUUCAUGGGCUCUGCUCUGCGAGACUUGUUUCUUCUGCUUCCUCCUGGAUUCUUCAGUCUUGAACUUCUCUGUUGCCUGCAUUCUUGCCUUUUACUCCACUCUGCCACCUGGAUGAGAGGCCGAGGACCAGUCUGCGUCACAGGAACCUCCUUCUAAUCCCUAGAGUAAGAAGCUGUGAUCAGAGUGGUGGCAUAUUGAUGCUAGAAACACAGGAAACUGCAUGAGUCAUCCUUCAGAAUAGGAUAUAAGCAUGGCCAGUGCAUGCAUUUUCUCAGAUGAAUACACAUCUGUUAAACAAGCUGCAUAGAUUCUCCAGAGAGUUCAAUAUAAUUUUUCUCGGUAUUUUUCCUGUAAAAAUACGCCAUUAGACAAAUGAAUUGAAACAUUUUUACCAAAGCUUCAAUGCAGAAAUCACGGCUGCACAAAAGUACAUGAAAUGGGGAGGUCACAUCAUAUUAGUGAUCAGCUGUCAUAAUCAGAAGAGGCCAUGUAAGUAUUUCCUCUCAUAAUUUAGUAAAAUACAGGAAAUCAUCCUU
rnacentral:lncRNA from 1 species